GACAGAGGCCCCGAGCGUUAGGCGGAAUCACUGGGCUUAAAGCGUGUGUAGGCGGACCCCUAAGUGUCUUGUGAAAUCCCACGGCUCACCCGUGGAACCGCUGGGCAUACUGGGGGUCUUGGGCCGUUCAGGGGCGACUGGAACAAGCGGUGGAGCGGUGAAAUGCGUAGAUAUCGUGAGGAACACCAGAGGCGAAGGCGGCUACCUGGACAAUUGCUGACGCUCAGGCACGAAAGCGUGGGGAGCAAAAGGG
rnacentral:rRNA from 1 species